AACUAACAAGGAUUCCCCUAGUAGCGGCGAGCGAAGCGGGAAGAGCUCAAAUUUAUAAUCUGGCACUUUCAGUGUCCGAGUUGUAAUCUCUAGAAGUGUUUUCCGCGUUGGACCGCACACAAGUCUGUUGGAAUACAGCGGCACAGUGGUGACACCCCCGUACACGGUGCGGACGCCCAGCGCUUUGUGAUACACUUUCGAAGAGUCGAGUUGUUUGGGAAUGCAGCUCAAAUUGGGUGGUAAAUUCCAUCUAAAGCUAAAUAUUGGCGAGAGACCGAUAGCGAACAAGUACCGUGAGGGAAAGAUGAAAAGCACUUUGGAAAGAGAGUUAACAGUACGUGAAAUUGUUGGAAGGGAAACGCUUGAAGUCAGACUUGCUUGCCGGAGCUUGCUUCGGUUUGCAGGCCAGCAUC
rnacentral:rRNA from 1 species